UGUGACUUGUUUAUAGUUUCUAAAAUUUUUAUUGGUUUCAUUGAAAUUGAAAACAUAAGCGUUGAUUACUAUAAUUCUAGCUAUAGGUUGUGGGUAACCAUUACCACCCUAUUUAACAAACUUCUCAACUUAACCAAAAUUUACGAAUAGCAGCGGAAAGACUUUUUUUUCAAAAGUAGGCUCAGUUGUGGUCUUUAUCUUUAGCUUGUAGGUUAUACUUGGUGCAAAAAGCCUAAUUCAG